AUUCAGCAACUAGCUUAAAUUAGAAUUCCCCUCGGGAGCCAAGGGUGGGAGUUAAAAUCUCCCUUCUUUGA
rnacentral:tRNA from 1 species